rnacentral:rRNA from 1 species
AUACGGAGGAUGCAAGCGUUAUCCGGAUUUAUUGGAUUUAAAGGGUGCGUAGGCUGAGGAGUAAGUCAGGGGUGAAAUGCCGCAGCUCAACUGCGGAACUGCCUUUGAUACUGCUUUUCUGGAGUCCGGAUGCCGUGGGAGGAAUGGGCAGUGUAGCGGUGAAAUGCAUAGAUAUUGCCCAGAACACCGAUUGCGAAGGCAUCUCACGAAUCCGGCACUGACGCUGAGGCACGAAAGCGUGGGGAUCAAACAGGAUUAGAUACCCUGGUAGUCCACGCAGUAAACGAUGAUAACUAACCGUCGGCGAUAGACAGUCGGUGGCCAAGCGAAAGCGAUAAGUUAUCCACCUGGGGAGUACGUUCGCAAGAAUGAAACUCAAAUGAAUUGGCGGGG